CCAAUACAAAAUUUUUUCUUUGAUAAAAUUUGUUUUUAAGCAAUUUUUAAAUAAACUAAUAAUUUUUGAGGUACAGGAAUUUAAAAUCCAGGAAAAUAGCAUAAUCAUAUAGCAUAAAUCUUUGCUCAGCUAUUCAGAAACAGUGAAUGCAGUGGUGUCUCAUACAGCCUAGUGGUACAAAGAGUUGCAUUGCACAGUAUCCACUUCAGCACAAUUUGUUUACCAAUAAAGAUGGGAAGGGUUCUGCCAAUUCAAAUCAUCACUGUACCAAUACAAAUGUAAUUUGUUGCUUCAAGAGUGACCCAAAAAAUAAAACAAAAAAUUGGUUUGAAUCAGCAGAACCCUUCUAACUUUAUUU
rnacentral:lncRNA from 1 species